CACGUAGGGGGCGAGCGUUGUCCGGAAUCAUUGGGCGUAAAGAGCUCGUAGGCGGCUCGGUAAGUCGGGUGUGAAACCCCCAGGCUCAACCUGGGGACGCCACCCGAUACUGCUGUGGCUAGAGUCCAGCAGGGGAGUGUGGAAUUCCCGGUGUAGCGGUGAAAUGCGCAGAUAUCGGGAGGAACACCAGCGGCGAAGGCGGCACUCUGGGCUGGAACUGACGCUGAGGCGCGAAAGCGUGGGGAGCAAACAGG
rnacentral:rRNA from 1 species